rnacentral:rRNA from 1 species
GUGUAUGGCCACGCUACCCUGAACAAGCCCAACCCCAUCUGAUUUCAUGAAAGCUAAGCAGGGUCGGGCCUGGUUAGUACUUGGAGGGGAGACCACCUAGGAAGACCAGGUGCUAUAGGCG